rnacentral:rRNA from 1 species
CUAACCUGCCCACUGAUUAAUUUAAGGGCCGCGGUAUAUUGACUGUGCAAAGGUAGCAUAAUCAUUUGUCUUUUAAUUGAAGGCUGGAAUGAAUGGUUGAAUGAAGUAUAAGCUGUCUCAUUUUAAUAAAAAUAAGAAUUUAGCUUUUAAGUGAAAAGGCUUAAAUAAAGUUAGAGGACGAGAAGACCCUAUAGAUCUUUAUAUUAAAAUUAAAUUAUUAUAUUAAGAUUUUAUAAAAUUUUAAUUUAAUUAAAUAUUUAGUUGGGGUGACUGGAAAAUUUAAUAAACUAUUUUUAUUUUAUACCAUUAAUGAAUGAAUUAUUGAUCCAAUAUUAUUGAUUAAAAAAUUAAGUUACCUUAGGGAUAACAGCGUAAUUUUUUUAGAGAGUUCUUAUCGAUAAAAUAGAUUGCGACCUCGAUGUUGAAUUAAAGAU